rnacentral:rRNA from 1 species
AUUGAACGCUGGCGGCAGGCCUAACACAUGCAAGUCGAACGAGUGGCGGAAGGGUGAGUAAUGUCUGGGAAACUGACUGAUGGAGGGGGAUAACUAAUGGAAACGGUAGCUAAUACCGCAUACAAUAAGAUGUGCCCAGAUGGGAUUAGCUUGUUGGUGGGGUAACGGCUCAACAAGGCGAAGAUCCCUAGCUGGUCUGAGAGGAUGACCAGCCACACGGGAACUGAGACACGGUCAAGACUCCUACGUGAGGCAGCAGUGGUGAAUAUUGCACAAUGGGCGCAAGCCGGAUGCAGCCAUGCCGCGUGUAUGAAGAAGGCCGUCGGGUUGUAAAGUACUUUCAGCGGGGAGGCGUUACCCGCAGAAGAAGCACCGGCGAACGCCGUGCCAGCAGCCGCGGUAAUAC